UCAUUUUGGGUUUUGGGUGAAUUAUCCCUUUAAGUUUUCUAGAAGUGUGUGUGUGUGUGUGUGUGUCUAAUAUCUUCUUGCUUAGAAAGAAAAUGUUGUGCCCUCCACUUCCCCAAUUACAAGCCCAAAUGAGCCACCAACUCCCGCACCUCCUUGCCAAAGAGAAGAUGAUGCAACAAUGCUGGAUCCGGAUACACCUAUUGUUUUGCAUGUCAUCCCAUUUUUUGCAUUUGAAUUUAGGAUGUCCGCACAAUCAUCACCAACUCAUAUGAAGCAGGCUGAUUGUUGAGAGUCUUGAUAAGGACAAUAUUGUCACCAUAAAACAGAGACGGUGCAUAAUCAGAAUUUUUGUGUUGUGAAACGAAGAGCCCAAACACCUCCUGACUGGAAGUGAGUAACCGUUCAGGAAGGACCUCCACAGAAACCCCUGCUGCUCAGGUCCACCUCCACCUGAAGCUGAAGAUAAAGGAAUACCCAGGACUGCAUCAAUGGACAGAUUAGCUGAAAUGCAGCAGACUGAGCCAGAACCCAACACAUUAUGUCUGAUUCUGUAGUUCAGUUCAAUCUCAUAUAAAUCCAUACACUCAUGAGUGUAAUAUCAUUUACUAGCAUAAAAUACACUGUCAUACAUUCUAUUCUGAUUUCAGCCUCUUAGAGUAAAAUAGUUCAUAACACAAAUAUAAACAGUCACAAUCAACUGCUCGCC